GACGAACGCUGGCGGCGUGCUUAACACAUGCAAGUCGAACGGUGAAGGGGCCUGCUUUUGUGGGCCCUGGAUGAGUGGCGAACGGGUGAGUAACACGUGAGUAACCUGCCCCCUUCUUCUGGAUAACCGCAUGAAAGUGUGGCUAAUACGGGAUAUUCUGGGUCUGUCGCAUGAUGGGUCUGGGAAAGAUUGCGCCUUUGGGUGUUUUUGGUGGGGGAUGGGCUCGCGGCCUAUCAGCUUGUUGGUGGGGUGAUGGCCUACCAAGGCGGUGACGGGUAGCCGGCCUGGGAGGGUGGACGGUCACACGGGGACUGAGACACGGCCCAGACGCCUACGGGAGGCAGCAGUGGGGAAUAUGGCACAAUGGGCGCAAGCCUGAUGCAGCGACGCCGCGUGAGGGAUGGAGGCCUUCGGGUUGUAAACCUCUUUCGCCAGUGAAGCAGGCCUGCUCCUUGUGGGUGGGUUGACGGUAGCUGGAUAAGAAGCGCCGGCUAACUACGUG
rnacentral:rRNA from 1 species